GACGAACGCUGGCGGCGUGCCUAAUACAUGCAAGUUGAGCGAUGAAGAUUGGUGCUUGCACCAUUUUGAAGAGCAGCGAACGGGUGAGUAACGCGUGGGGAAUCUGCCUUUGAGCGGGGUACAACAUUUGGAAACGAAUGCUAAUACCGCAUAACAACUUUAAACAUAAGUUUUAAGUGUGAAAGAUGCAAUUGCAUCACUCAAAGAUGAUCCCGCGUUGUAUUAGCUAGUUGGUGAGGUAAAGGCUCACCAAGGCGAUGAUACAUAGCCGACCUGAGAGGGUGAUCAGCCGCCUUGGGAGUGAGACACGGCCCAAAGUCCCACGGGAGGCAGCAGUAGGGAAUCGUCGGCCAUGGACGAAAGUCUGACCGAGAAACGCCGAGUGAGUGAAGAAGGUUGUCGGAUCGUAGAACUCUGUUGGUAGAGAAGAACGUUGGUGAGAGUGGAAAGCUCAUCAAGUGACGGUAACUACCCAGAAAGGGACGGCCAACUACGUG
rnacentral:rRNA from 1 species